rnacentral:rRNA from 1 species
ACGGGUGAGUAAUGCCUAGGAAUCUGCCUGGUAGUGGGGGGCAACGUUUCGAAAGGAACGCUAAUACCGCAUACGUCCUACGGGAGAAAGCAGGGGACCUUCGGGCCUUGCGCUAUCAGAUGAGCCUAGGUCGGAUUAGCUAGUUGGUGAGGUAAUGGCUCACCAAGGCGACGGUCCGUAACUGGUCUGAGAGGAUGAUCAGUCACACUGGAACUGAGACACGGUCCAGACUCCUACGGGAGGCAGCAGUGGGGAAUAUUGGACAAUGGGCGAAAGCCUGAUCCAGCCAUGCCGCGUGUGUGAAGAAGGUCUUCGGAUUGUAAAGCACUUUAAGUUGGGAGGAAGGGUUGUAGAUUAAUACUCUGCAAUUUUGACGUUACCGACAGAAUAAGCACCGGCUAACUCUGUGCCAGCAGCCGCGGUAAUACAGAGGGUGCAAGCGUUAAUCGGAAUUACUGGGCGUAAAGCGCGCGUAGGUGGUUUGUUAAGUUGGAUGUGAAAUCCCCGGGCUCAACCUGGGAACUGCAUCCAAAACUGGCAAGCUAGAGUAUGGUAGAGGGUGGUGGAAUUUCCUGUGUAGCGGUG